UUCCAGACUCCUACGGGAGGCAGCAGUGAGGAAUAUUGGUCAAUGGGCGGGAGCCUGAACCAGCCAUGCCGCGUGAAGGCGAGUGCCCUACGGGCGUUAAACUUCUUUUGUGCGGGAGCAAUAAGGGCCACGUGUGGCCCGAUGAGAGUACCGCACGAAAAAGCAUCGGCUAACUCCGUGCCAGCAGCCGCGGUAAUACGGAGGAUGCGAGCGUUAUCCGGAUUUAUUGGGUUUAAAGGGAGCGUAGGUGGAUUGUUAAGUCGGUUGUGAAAGUUUGCGGCUCAACCGUAAAAUUGCAGUUGAAACUGGCAGUCUUGAGUACAGUAGAGGUGGGCGGAAUUCGUGGUGUAGCGGUGAAAUGCUUAGAUAUCACGAAGAACUCCGAUUGCGAAGGCAGCUCACUGGACUGCAACUGACACUGAGGCUCGAAAGUGUGGGUAUCAAACAGGAUUAGAUACCCCUGUAGG
rnacentral:rRNA from 1 species